GACGAACGCUGGCGGCGUGCUUAACACAUGCAAGUCGAACGGAAAGGCCCCUUCGGGGGUGCUCGAGUGGCGAACGGGUGAGUAACACGUGGGUGAUCUGCCCUGCACUUUGGGAUAAGCCUGGGAAACUGGGUCUAAUACCGGAUAGGACCAUGGCCUGCAUGGGUUGUGGUGGAAAGCUUUUGCGGUGUGGGAUGGGCCCGCGGCCUAUCAGCUUGUUGGUGGGGUGAUGGCCUACCAAGGCUGCGACGGGUAGCCGGCCUGAGAGGGGGGCCGGCCACACUGGGACUGAGAUACGGCCCAGACUCCUACGGGAGGCAGCAGUGGGGAAUAUUGCACAAUGGGCGCAAGCCUGAUGCAGCGACGCCGCGUGGGGGAUGACGGCCUUCGGGUUGUAAACCUCUUUCACCAUCGACGAAGCCUUCGGGUGACGGUAGGUGGAGAAGAAGCACCGGCCAACUACGUGCCAGCCGCCGCCGUAAGAC
rnacentral:rRNA from 1 species